GCUGUGGCUGAGUCGCAAAGCAUCUGCUACACAUACAGAAGGGUCAAGGUUCGAUUUCUGACGUCUCCA